rnacentral:rRNA from 1 species
AGUGAACGCUGGCGGUAGGCCUAACACAUGCAAGUCGAACGGCAGCACAGUAAGAGCUUGCUCUUACGGGUGGCGAGUGGCGGACGGGUGAGGAAUACAUCGGAAUCUACUUUUUCGUGGGGGAUAACGUAGGGAAACUUACGCUAAUACCGCAUACGACCUACGGGUGAAAGCAGGGGAUCUUCGGACCUUGCGCGAUUGAAUGAGCCGAUGUCGGAUUAGCUAGUUGGCGGGGUAAAGGCCCACCAAGGCGACGAUCCGUAGCUGGUCUGAGAGGAUGGUCGGCCGCACUGGGAGUGAGACGCGGUCCAGGCUCCGACGGGAGGCAGGAGUGGGGAAUAUUGGACAAUGGGGGCAAGCCUGAUCCAGCCAUACCGCGUGAGUGAAGAAGGCCUUCGGGUUGUAAAGCCCUUUUGUUGGGAAAGAAAAGCAGCAGGUGAAUACCCCGCUGUUCUGACGGUACCCAAAGAAUAAGCACCGGCUAACUUCGUG